rnacentral:rRNA from 1 species
UUGUAAUUUGUAGAAGGUGCUUCGGAUGCAAUAUUGGUACAAGUCCUUUGGAAUUGGGCGUCAAAGAGGGUGAUAAUCCCGUAUUGACCGCUAUAUUCGUCCAUGUGAAGCCCUUUCGACGAGUCGAGUUGUUUGGGAAUGCAGCUCAAAAUGGGUGGUAGACUUCAUCUAAAGCUAAAUAUCAGCCAGAGACCGAUAGCGCACAAGUAGAGUGAUCGAAAGAUGAAAAGCACUUUGAAAAGAGAGUUAAACAGCACGUGAAAUUGUUGAAAGGGAAGCGCUUGCAACCAGACUUGCUUGUAAUGUUCAGCCUCCUGAAAAGGUGGUGUAUUCUUUACCUGCAGGCCAGCAUCGGUUUCGACGGUUGGACAAAAGCCAAAGGAACGUAGCUUCCCCCGGGGAGUGUUAUAGCCUAGGUACAAUGCAACCAGUUGGGACCGAGGAACGCGCUUUUAGCGAGGAUGUUGGCAUAAUGGUUGUUAGCGGCCCGUCUUGAAACACGGACCAAGGAGUCGACCAAUUAAGCGAGCGUUAGGGUGUAAAACCCACAGCGCGUAAUGAAAGUAAACGUAGGUGGGAAGCUUUUUAAGCAGCACCAUCGACCGAUCUAAGUUCGCGAGGAUUUGAGUAUGAGUUUCAUUGGUCGGACCCGAAAGAAGGUGAACUAUUCCCGAAUAGGUUGAAGUCAGGUGAAAACCUGAUGGAAGACCGCAGCGGUUCUGACGUGCAAAUCGAUCGUCAAAUUUAGGAAUAGGGGCGAAAGACUAAUCGAACCUUCUAGUAGCUGGUUCCUGUCGAAGUUUCCCUCAGGAUAGCAGCAACGAUAAACAGUCUCAUGAGGUAGAGCAACGAUUAGAGGCCUUGGGGUUGAAACAACCUUAACCUAUUCUCGAACUCCGAAUAUGUGAGAAGUCCUUGUUACUUAAUUGAA